rnacentral:lncRNA from 12 species
AGCAGCCUAGCUCCGGCGCGCGGCGGGCGUCCUUCCGGUCACGUCAUCCUUCACGGAGGCACUCCGUCGUCUGGCGUCGUCACGAGGGGGCUGACUUUGACGUCAUAGUUGGAGAGAAAGGCCGAGGUCAGGCCCGCAGAGCCCUUCCCGCCGCGCCUUGGUGGUCCACAGGAUGAUAAAGCCCAAGGGAAAGAAGCCAGAAGUAUGACCAGAUAGUCCUAGUGGUUGU